AUAGGUUAAUGAGGCGAACCGGGGGAACUGAAACAUCUAAGUACCCCGAGGAAAAGAAAUCAACCGAGAUUCCCCCAGUAGCGGCGAGCGAACGGGGAGCAGCCCAGAGCCUGAAUCAGUGUGUGUGUUAGUGGAAGCGUCUGGAAAGGCGCGCGAUACAGGGUGACAGCCCCGUACACAAAAAUGCACAUGCUGUGAGCUCGAUGAGUAGGGCGGGACACGUGGUAUCCUGUCUGAAUAUGGGGGGACCAUCCUCCAAGGCUAAAUACUCCUGACUGACCGAUAGUGAACCAGUACCGUGAGGGAAAGGCGAAAAGAACCCCGGCGAGGGGAGUGAAAAAGAACCUGAAACCGUGUACGUACAAGCAGUGGGAGCACGCUUAGGCGUGUGACUGCGUACCUUUUGUAUAAUGGGUCAGCGACUUAUAUUCUGUAGCAAGGUUAACCGAAUAGGGGAGCCGAAGGGAAACCGAGUCUUAACUGGGCGUUAAGUUGCAGGGUAUAGACCCGAAACCCGGUGAUCUAGCCAUGGGCAGGUUGAAGGUUGGGUAACACUAACUGGAGGACCGAACCGACUAAUGUUGAAAAAUUAGCGGAUGACUUGUGGCUGGGGGUGAAAGGCCAAUCAAACCGGGAGAUAGCUGGUUCUCCCCGAAAGCUAUUUAGGUAGCGCCUCGUGAAUUCAUCUCCGGGGGUAGAGCACUGUUUCGGCAAGGGGGUCAUCCCGACUUACCAACCCGAUGCAAACUGCGAAUACCGGAGAAUGUUAUCACGGGAGACACACGGCGGGUGCUAACGUCCGUCGUGAAGAGGGAAACAACCCAGACCGCCAGCUAAGGUCCCAAAGUCAUGGUUAAGUGGGAAACGAUGUGGGAAGGCCCAGACAGCCAGGAUGUUGGCUUAGAAGCAGCCAUCAUUUAAAGAAAGCGUAAUAGCUCACUGGUCGAGUCGGCCUGCGCGGAAGAUGUAACGGGGCUAAACCAUGCACCGAAGCUGCGGCAGCGACACUAUGUGUUGUUGGGUAGGGGAGCGUUCUGUAAGCCUGUGAAGGUGUACUGUGAGGUAUGCUGGAGGUAUCAGAAGUGCGAAUGCUGACAUAAGUAACGAUAAAGCGGGUGAAAAGCCCGCUCGCCGGAAGACCAAGGGUUCCUGUCCAACGUUAAUCGGGGCAGGGUGAGUCGACCCCUAAGGCGAGGCCGAAAGGCGUAGUCGAUGGGAAACAGGUUAAUAUUCCUGUACUUGGUGUUACUGCGAAGGGGGGACGGAGAAGGCUAUGUUGGCCGGGCGACGGUUGUCCCGGUUUAAGCGUGUAGGCUGGUUUUCCAGGCAAAUCCGGAAAAUCAAGGCUGAGGCGUGAUGACGAGGCACUACGGUGCUGAAGCAACAAAUGCCCUGCUUCCAGGAAAAGCCUCUAAGCAUCAGGUAACAUCAAAUCGUACCCCAAACCGACACAGGUGGUCAGGUAGAGAAUACCAAGGCGCUUGAGAGAACUCGGGUGAAGGAACUAGGCAAAAUGGUGCCGUAACUUCGGGAGAAGGCACGCUGAUAUGUAGGUGAAGUCCCUCGCGGAUGGAGCUGAAAUCAGUCGAAGAUACCAGCUGGCUGCAACUGUUUAUUAAAAACACAGCACUGUGCAAACACGAAAGUGGACGUAUACGGUGUGACGCCUGCCCGGUGCCGGAAGGUUAAUUGAUGGGGUCAGCGCAAGCGAAGCUCUUGAUCGAAGCCCCGGUAAACGGCGGCCGUAACUAUAACGGUCCUAAGGUAGCGAAAUUCCUUGUCGGGUAAGUUCCGACCUGCACGAAUGGCGUAAUGAUGGCCAGGCUGUCUCCACCCGAGACUCAGUGAAAUUGAACUCGCUGUGAAGAUGCAGUGUACCCGCGGCAAGACGGAAAGACCCCGUGAACCUUUACUAUAGCUUGACACUGAACAUUGAGCCUUGAUGUGUAGGAUAGGUGGGAGGCUUUGAAGUGUGGACGCCAGUCUGCAUGGAGCCGACCUUGAAAUACCACCCUUUAAUGUUUGAUGUUCUAACGUGGACCCGUAAUCCGGGUUGCGGACAGUGUCUGGUGGGUAGUUUGACUGGGGCGGUCUCCUCCUAAAGAGUAACGGAGGAGCACGAAGGUUGGCUAAUCCUGGUCGGACAUCAGGAGGUUAGUGCAAUGGCAUAAGCCAGCUUGACUGCGAGCGUGACGGCGCGAGCAGGUGCGAAAGCAGGUCAUAGUGAUCCGGUGGUUCUGAAUGGAAGGGCCAUCGCUCAACGGAUAAAAGGUACUCCGGGGAUAACAGGCUGAUACCGCCCAAGAGUUCAUAUCGACGGCGGUGUUUGGCACCUCGAUGUCGGCUCAUCACAUCCUGGGGCUGAAGUAGGUCCCAAGGGUAUGGCUGUUCGCCAUUUAAAGUGGUACGCGAGCUGGGUUUAGAACGUCGUGAGACAGUUCGGUCCCUAUCUGCCGUGGGCGCUGGAGAACUGAGGGGGGCUGCUCCUAGUACGAGAGGACCGGAGUGGACGCAUCACUGGUGUUCGGGUUGUCAUGCCAAUGGCACUGCCCGGUAGCUAAAUGCGGAAGAGAUAAGUGCUGAAAGCAUCUAAGCACGAAACUUGCCCCGAGAUGAGUUCUCCCUGACUCCUUGAGAGUCCUGAAGGAACGUUGAAGACGACGACGUUGAUAGGCCGGGUGUGUAAGCGCAGCGAUG
rnacentral:rRNA from 1 species